GCUGGGCGUGGUGGUGCACGCCUGUAAUCCCAGCUACUCGGGAGGCUGAGGCAGGAGAAUCGCUUGAAUCCAGGAGGCGGAGGUUGCAGUGAGCUGAGAUCGCGCCACUGCACUCCGGCCUGGGCGACAGAGCGGGACUCUAUCUCAA
rnacentral:SRP_RNA from 2 species